GUGUCCAGGGAUGGGAAUCGAACCCACAAUGUUCCGCUUACCGGGCAGAUGCCAUGUCCACUAGGAUCACUGGAAA
rnacentral:tRNA from 1 species